GGAUUGUGGCUCAGUGGCAGAGCGCUUGCCUCGCACAUGUGAGGCACUGGGUUCAAUCCUCAGCACCA
rnacentral:tRNA from 1 species